rnacentral:lncRNA from 1 species
GCCAUGUUGCACAGGCUCCGCCCUCCGUUCCACGUACCCGGCCCCGGCGGCCAGCGGCCCCCUUCCAGGGGAGAGCGCGUUCGGGUCGUCUGUGAAGAAGUAGGAGAGCGGCGAUGCGGGAGCCAUUCCCACCGACCCACCGUUCGACAUUUCUGAUUUCCAAACAGUCAGCCUCGGUUGGUACCACUUCUAGGACUUGGGCAGAACAUAGACCUCUUCUAAAUGCCACCGGGCCUUGCAGUGGCCCCAUUCUGGAGGGUCUCCUCUCCUGGACCAUCACCAUUGAACAGGAAGAACAAGAGAAACACCUCUUGGAGAAUAACCCUUUGCCUGCUUCUACCUACUCCUGAGACUUCCUAGAGGACCACAAGCUCCUAUUCAAAAACAACCAGGUUCCUCUCUGGCCUCAUUUGUCCAGACGGGCACAGUCCUCGGACUCAAGCGAGUAAUAUCCUCUGAAUGCAGAUGUGCCACUUUGGCAUCUUCACGUCUUCAUAGUGUUUCAGAUGAGAGGUUGCUGGCGUUAGAAUUGUAAAGAGAGUCUGUAGAUAGGGCAACUCCCGCAUGCUUUUGUUGGGUGACCUCGGAACUAAGUCCUCACUCUAGUAGCCUCGGUGAUUAAAGGGCUCGAUGGACGAUAACAAACAGCUCUUUCCUUACUGGAGGCUCUGGUUUUGAGCUGUCUCUCAAGGUUGCUCAGAAAGCUGGCAAUCAAGCUCCGGGCCUUAUUCAUCGUGCCAGGCCAGUGCUCUACCAUUGAGCUAGAUCCCCCAUCUAGCUCAUUGUGUGUGCGUAUCUGUGUAUGUGACAGGAUCUCACUGUUGAAGCUCAGGCGGAACUUAAACCACUAUGCAACCCAGACUGACUUCAAAUCCCCCCUUUGUUCUGCCUCAGUUUCUGAAGUUUUAGGGCUAUAAAUGUAUACAACAGAGCUUGGCCAUGAAAGUGCAUUUUAUUUACGUUAAUAUAUAUUUUAGAUUUUUUUUGGGGGGG